GAUGAACGCUAGCUACAGGCUUAACACAUGCAAGUCGCGGGGCAGCAUGGGGGUUGCUUGCAAUCCCCGAUGGCGACCGGCGCACGGGUGAGUAACGCGUAUCCAACCUGCCCUUCACCACGGGAUAACCCGGCGAAAGUCGGACUAAUACCGUAUGUUGUCCAUUGACGGCAUCCGAUUUGGACGAAAGGCUUGGCGGUGAGGGAUGGGGAUGCGUCCGAUUAGCCAGACGGCGGGGUAACGGCCCACCGUGGCUACGAUCGGUAGGGGUUCGGAGAGGAAGGGACCCCACACUGGAACUGAGACACGGUCCAGAAUCCUACGGGAGGCAGCAGUGAGGAAUAGUGGGCAAGGGGCGUAAGCCUGAACCAGCCAAGUAGCGUGCAGGAUGACGGCCCUAUGGGUUGUAAACUGCUUUUAUGCGGGGAUAAAGUGGCCCACGUGUGGGCUUUUGCAGGUACCGCAUGAAUAAGGACCGGCUAAUUCCGUG
rnacentral:rRNA from 1 species